CGUAACCUAAUAAAGAUAAAAAUAAAAUAUUGUGAAGGUUUAGAAUAAAAUUCAAAUAAUCGUAAGUUGCAGUUACGCGUGGAAUACGACAUUUCAAUGUAUUCAGUUAAUAAAAACAAAACUAAAACUUUACACGUUAAAAAUUUAUGGACUUGAAUUUAAGUAUGUAAAUUUGUUGGAUCGAUUAUUGUCCAAAUUAAUGUUGUAACAAGUUAUCCAAAGAAAUUCAACAUUUGUAGUAUAUCAGUUAAAUUUCUGCUCUGAAGUGUGUCAGUUGGUGAACGUUGUUAAUGGCAACCAAAUUUAUAAAUAAAGGCAGGUUGGAUGAAAAAAAAAAUACACCAUGUUCGAUUUGGAAUAUGGCUCUUUCUUCUCCAUAAAACUACAGUCCAAUUUUUUAAAGGCUUUCGAACGCGCAUUCACCGGCAUCAAUGGCGAACGAUAAUGUGUAUAAGACCACUACCCAGAAGAUCUCGAUGCAUCAAGUUUCUGCGUUCGCAACGUAACUGAUCCAUUAGUAGUUCAUGUUCAGCCAUACCAGCUGUGGCCGCA